UAAUUGGCGCUGAGAUGCGGAUAAUCAAAAGCCUUGUUCGGACAAAGGGAGGGGAGGAAAAUGUUAUAAAAAGCCCUGUUUAACAAAGAGCCUUGAUGGAGCAGAUAGGCGUCCUUCUCUUGGAAACAAGUCCCCAAAUGAGCAAACAAGGCCGGAGCAACAAUCUGAUUUUCAUGCAAAUGUUUUCCUUUUCCAGAGUACUGCAAGAGCACAAACAAGGAUUAGCGGCUGACGGUCAUUUGCAUACCGUCGGCCAGCUCCGAGCGUUUUUGAAACACUAUGGCAAAGCAUUUCGCUCACCAUGAAUUGUCCCUCCCGCCCCUUCCCCUGCAGCUACCAAUGACGUCGGAUGUACUCCAGAUGGUGGGUGUUCAUGAGCUGUUUUAUGAAGAAGAGGAUCACAGCAGCUACCUAUGGCAGUGGAAAGACAGCACAACAAUCCAAAAUCCACACUGGAGAGGCAGCUGAACUGAUUUCAAGGCCCCCACAGCAGUGAGGAGAUAGAUAGCUCACGAGCUGUGGUGUGAGCUAAGACAUAAUGAGCUCAUGACACAUGUUUGUCUUGGCUUUCACCCACCCCACGUGGGGCUGUACCAGCUGGCAGCAACAUGACAAGUGGCUGCAGCCCACAUGAACCACAGCACCACAAGAACAGCACUAGCCCAGUAAUUCUGAGGCAGGGACAUGAACUACCCACUACAAGAAAGCCCAGAUCUCUUGACCCUAAGUGCUUAUCAGCAUGCUACGUCUCAGCUUUUAUUGCAGGCAUCACCAUUUGCUGUAUCCACAUUUAAAGCUGCAUAAAUAGCAGUGGGGCUGCUGAUGCCUGGGAAUGCUGUCGUGUCACUACUUCGUGUGGCAUGGUGUCAUGUAGCAGGAUGAUAGACUGCCACCACAUCCCAGCAGCAUGUUUAGCAGUUGGGAUGGAAUUCCCGUGCCUGCCUCCCAGACCAGUAAAAUGAAAACCACAGGCUUAUGGCUGGAGUGUGGCAGUGAGAGCAUUCAAUCCAACAGACACAGACUGCGUGUUGCUGAGGUGCUGAGCACAUUGCAGAGCAACAUAAGGGGCAGUGAGGUGCUCCACAUCACUGGGACAAUGAGGUUUGGUACCCAGGGCUGUCAGGCAGGAUGGAUGGAGUUGGGGAAGAUAGCAAAGCUCAGAUCUGUGACUGCCUGAGUUGCCAGUGUGUCCUGCAGUCUCCUUCGUGCUUGGUCACAUCACCAAUACCUCAGAUGAAAGCCACUAUCUGCUGUGUGCUCAAUUGCAUGCAGAGAUCAGCACAGCUAUUUGGUCAACAGGAUAAGAAUUGAGACACUUGAGUGUGAGCAUCUGGUUUUCACUUUGUUAUGUUUUGAAUUUUGGACAAAUCUGUGUGAGAUUGGAUGAAGUUCCUGACAGAUCAGCACAACUAGAUGCCUGCAAACUUUUUAAGGGUCCAUUCUUUUAUUAGAUGAUGGCUCAGAAAGCCACCGGGGAUGUACAGUCAGCAUCUGCCCUUUAUGGGAAGAGGAGUGGGUGGAAGGGGAGAGGCUGCUGCUCUGAUUUGCUUGGCUCGGUGCUUGGGCUCACUGAGUUUUGCUGUGUGCCGAAGCCACGUGAUUUGUGUAGUUGUGACACAAAAUCAUAAAUCAAUCCAGUUUGGCUAGGAAAGUUCACGAACCCUCACUGAACCUUUGGACGAACCUGGGUUGAGUUUCGAGCUCAUAAGGAAAUCUGAAACCAGGCGGGCUUCAGAAGGAUUUGUAUUUCAUUGCGAACCCUUUGUAGAGCUCGGCUAAAAAGGCGGCGGUCAGCAAUCCCUGGGUUUGGAUAAGAAAAAAGUUGUCGGCUUGAGAGCGUUUACAUAGAGCAUGGAUGACCUUUAGAACAGCCCUAUUGUAGUGAGUGAAAAAUAGUUCUUCUUGAAAACUGCCGCUUGCAUGGCACUGCCAGGAGCUGCCUCCAUUUCCCAGAGCGGUCUGACAUCGCUAAAGCACCUGCUGGGGACAUCCUCCUUUCCCAUCAUAUUUUGUGGAUUUUUAGAGGGAUUUCAAACCUCAGUAUUAAAACUGUAAAAUUC